GCACGCGCAUUUGUACCGAACAUGGCUGCGGCAGCUCCCGCCGCUGCCGCUGGUGCCGCCGGCCAGCCUCCGUGUGGACGUCCCAUGCAGUUGAGGACGCCCCCUCCGGCAGGUGUGGACACCCCCCUUCUGCAGUGUGGACGUCCCCUGCAGUUGAGGACACCCCCCGGCGAGUGUGGACGCCCCGCUGCGGGUGUGGACGUACCUCGGCGGGUGUGGAAGCUCCCUCUUAGGGUGAGACGCCCUAGCGAUUUCCUCAGCGUUUCCCCGCGGUUCCGCGCUCGUCCUUCCAUAGGGGCCUUUUUGCCCCUGCCUGCCGGGUGUCCUGGCCCGGCCACUGGGGCGAGCCCCGGGUCUGCCGCCCUUCUGCUGCCGGGUGGUGGGAGGGCCCGUGUGGGCGUCGGUGGGUCUCGGGCCGAGGUGGCCGCGUUGCGCCCGCAGACUGUGCCGUUUCCCAACACUCUGCAGACCGGGAGGUGUCAAAUCACCUGUUUUUUCCCCACCUAAUAGCUGCAAAAUCAGAUCUUGCCGCACUUCUCAAUGAGGGCUGCGUUUUUCCAACUGCUAGUGGCCACUUCGCUUUCCUCUUCCUUGGUUUAGUGGGUUCGUUUCCUUAGCUCCUCUUCCCGCAGUAGUUUACGAUAAAAGUUUUUCUACAUAUAGAAAAGUUAAGACACUUGUGCGUCCUUAUACCAACUCAUUAACUCUGCUAUACUUGCUGUAUUUGUUCCCUUUGUCCACCCUUUUAGCUACCCACUAAUCUUUUUGGGAUACAGUCAAAGUAAAUGGCAGAUACCACUCCACUCCCCCCUCAAACACCUUACUACGCUUAACAUCAAUUAGAGUUCAAUAUUGCUUUUUAAAUUUUUGAGGGAAAACUGACUUACAUUGAAAUGCACAGAUAUUCAUUGUAUCACUGGAUGAGUUUUGACAAAUGCAGUCCAAACCUUUAUCAAAAUUACCAUCACCCCAGAAAGAUCCCUUAUCCUUUGCCAAUUUUAAAAAAAUUUCUUAUUAGCGACUUGGGCUUGUAAAAAUAUGUUUUGAACACUAAGACUUUGUUAUUUUUUCCACCCACAGCAAGCAACUUUUCUCCCUUCUAUUGAUUGUUUCUCUCCCUUAGCACUCGACUUUUUAUUUUGAAGUUUUACACCUACAGAAAUGUUGCAGGAAUAGUUCAAUAAACACUUGUAAAACCAUCCAGAUUAUCAAGUUAUUAGUACUUUGCCUCAUUAGCUUUACCCUUCUUUUCUCCCUGCCUCAAACACACAUCUUUUUAUAUCUUACACACCCUCCCACAAGAAGACAAAAGGUUUAUUACUCAGUAAUGAGACUGUCUUGGACAGCAGGGCAGACUUCCCAUGAUGAUCCAAAAAAGUGUGAGUGGGACUUCCCUGGUGGUCCAAUGGUUAAGUCUUCUCCCUUCCACUGCAGGGGGCGUGGGUUCAAUCCCUGGUUGGGAAACUAAGAUCCGGAAUGCCACGUGGUGCGGCCAAAAACCAAAUAAACAAACAAAAAUCGUGAGACAGCAGGAAAAGGAAGCUCGCUGGGUUUCUAUAGUGAUUAAUGGAGUUGAGAUGAGGGUGGCCUUGCAUUGGUUGGGGCUUGCAUGGUUUGAACUUCCUGCCAACACCAAGGAGAAAACACUCAGGCUUUCUUGUUAGUUUGCCUCGUUUGCAGAAGGAGAAGGGGCAGUAGGUGGUGGUGAGGAUGGGGGGUUGAAAGCUGUCAGCAGUCAGUCAUCAAAAAUGAAGUCAGGGGCUUCCCUGGUGGCGCAAUGGUUGAGAGUCCGCCUGCCGAUGCAGGGGACAUGGGUUCGUGCCCCGGUCCGGGAAGAUCCCACAUGCCGCGGAGCGGCUAGGCCCGUAAGCCAUGGCCGCUGAGCCUGCGCGUCCGGAGCCUGUGCUCCGCAACGGGAGAGGCCACAGCGGUGAGAGGCCCGCGUAUCGCAAAAAAAAGAAGUCAGGCUGUUAAUCACAAUUGGUAAUGAGGUGGGUAACUUUAUUUGGACAGGGCUAAAAUUAGUGGCAAACAAUUUAUUUUUGUUAAAGAAUGUAUCAUUUGAAGAAGUAAACAUUAUCGUGUGGUCCACAGAGAUGGCAAGAACCAUGCAGAUGGGGUCAGUCAUCUGAGGUCUGGCAACCAUUGAUGUCAAACAUCCAGUCAUUGGGCUUAAGUGGAUCCUUCUGCAGGGUCAUAGAGACUGCGUAUAAAGGCCUUCAGAGGUGAGUGCCUGGGAAUGGAAUUCUCCACACGCUUUAUUUUAUUUAUUUAUCAACUUAUUUAUUUAUUUUUAUUUUCGGCUGCAUUGGGUCUUCGUUGCUGCACGCAGUCUUUCUCUAGUUGUGGCGAGCGGGGGCUGCUCUUCAUUUUGGUGCACGGGCUUCUCAUUGUGGUGGCUUCUCUUGUUGUGGAGUAU
rnacentral:lncRNA from 1 species